GGGGGCAUAGCUCAGUGGGCAGAGCAAUCAGACUGAAGUUCGUGAUUGCUUCCGGACGUCCCCAGUUCAAUUCUGGGUGCCCCCA
rnacentral:tRNA from 1 species